GUCCAACAUCUACAACCUAAGAUCACCAUAUCAAAGUUAAAAGAUAGAGCUAAACCAGUUUGUGUCCAACCCUAUAGAUACCCUUACUUCCAAAAAGCUUAAAUAGAAAAAUUGGUCAAUGAAUUGCUCACAAAUGACCUUAUCCGUCCAACCAAAGCCCUUUUUCUUCCCUUGUCCUCCUAGUUAGGAAAUCUGGUGGAAGUUGGAGGCAUUGUAUUGAAUAUAGGUUAGUCAAUGCCGAGACAAUUAAAGCUAAAUUUCCUAUUCCCAUAGUUGAUUAACUCUUAGUUGAGUUAUAUGGUGCCACAAUCUUUUCUAAGUUAGACCCAAA
rnacentral:lncRNA from 1 species